rnacentral:lncRNA from 1 species
UCUCUCUAUGUGUUUUCACAGAAACCCAGGCCCAGGGAGAACAUUUACCCCUCUUCCUACAUUUCAGAGCUGAAAAUGUCGGAAUUGUCAUGGUAAUGCCCAUAGUUGAUGUGACAGAUACUGAGAAGGAAAAACACGCUUGCCACAUGUGAAAACUGCCUGGUUGGUUCUGCUCUGAGUGCCUCUCUGGAGGGCACAUUGAUGGAUUUGACAAUCACUUAAUUCUACUAGAGCCUGACCUUCAGUCUGGAAGUCAGAUAUACGCAGCAGAGACGUAGAUGAUAGCCGCAGGCUGCUGCUGGUGGGAAGCUGACAGAGUCCACUUUAAAGGACUGCCUUCAGUACCAUCUACAUUCUUCUACCUGGGACUGUGUGUGGCCAUGCGGACAGGCUCUCACCUUCACUAAACAAUUCAACUGCUGAAUUCCAACUAUCACGACAACCAUUUACACCAGUAAAAUGAACCAGAGAAGUCAGUGUAUCAGAACCUAAGACGGGAAAACUCUAUUGGAUUUCCUUUUACCUUAACUCUUAGUCCCUGCUUGCAGCUGAACCUCGGAGAGCAAUCAGCAUUCAAUGUUCUGUAGUAUAAGGAUCCUCCAGCAGAUCAUCUCUAGAGCUAGCUCUGACUUCUGCUCCCAGAGUCACCAUGGUGGUUAAGUAUGAAUUUGAUGGUCAUCUGGAAUCAGACUCUCUCCUCAUGGCUGCAAUUCCUCCGUGGUUCCGGCUGAUUUGAACCUCUCUCCAUCUCUGUGCUCCUUUCCCUGGCUGGUGGAAGUUCUGCCCCAUUCCCUUUUCUGCCCAGCCAUUGGGUGAUCGUCAUUUAUUGACAAGGCAGAGAAUAAAUGAAUUUAGUGGAAAAAGUGGGGACUCUACCGAACCUUAAAACAGACCCAGCUUUCCUCCUUCCUGUGGAUGCUCUCCACCUCUCACUGGAGCCUCCAUGUCAGCCACCUAUUCAUGGAGGCACUCUCCACCUGAGAACCCCCUGCUACACCUGCCUGGGAUUCAGAAGCAAGAAAUACACACUGGAAAAAAAAGAUGGCAUUGUCAAAAACUGGUGCUGCUCAAACUGGAUGGCUGCAUAAUAGAAAAAUGCAAAUAGAUUCAUGCUUAUCACUUGCGCAAGCUCAACUCCAAGUGGAUCAGAGAUCUCAAAACAAGAUAUGCUGAGCCUGAUAGAAGAAAAGUGGGGAAUAGUUUUGAAUCAUCGGCACAGGAACAUGUGAAAGGGACAGUCUUGCAGACCCACAGCUUCAGGAUCUCUAUGACACAGGGCAACAACAGGAUAGUCAAAAGGAGUACCAGUGAUGAUCCAGUACUGUUAGUGUAGCAGAAGCCAGAGGCCUCAAACAACAACGACUCAUUGCAAUGAAGAUUUAAUUACAUGUGUCUGUGUUGUCUCCCCAGAGGCAGAGACGGAGAUUGACUGAACCACCAUUCAGAUGGUGCUAUUAAAUUCCAGGAGGUACUUCUGGUGGUGAGUUCUCCAUCACCACUCAGCAUUCCUAGCCAUCAGUCACUGGUGAACGAGGAGAGAGAGGGUGGGGAGAGGGGACCUGACAUACCACAUUCUGUUCAGCUCAUGACUUAGAGCUGAACAGCAGCGUGUGCUGGUACAGGGGCAGAUGAUCUGAUUCUGGCACUGGGAAUCUGUGUUUUAGGCAUCACUUUUAUAAUUUAAGUAAAACUGAGGAUUCAAAAACCA